UCUGAAAGGCAUUCUCUGGGAAAAGUCUGUGGAGAAGCGAGGGAUCUUCUUGCAAAUAAUAUGGUCUCGGGCAAAGAUGCAGAAUCUUGGCUGUCUGCUCAAAAAAUGCCUAGACUCUUGGUGGAAAUUGAGUGUCGAGCUGCAAAACCUCAAAUGGCAGAUUAUCAUCAUGUAAGUCUAUCCAGGAAAGGAAGAGAAAGGAUCGAAAGAUUGUUUUUCUGAUUUACCAGGAGAAAAUGGCAUUUUUGUCCAAACUGUCUUGAUUAUGAAGGUAUCGAGCGCCAGGACACCGGAAAAGGCGAUUCCCUGAGUGCCAGGGGUCGGAGACAAUCACCGGAUCAGUCUUCAAGAUCUUUCGAGGUAAGCG